GUCUACAGCCAUGCUACCCUCAACAAGCCUGAUCUCGUCUGAUCUCGGAAGCUCAGCAGGGUCGGGCCUGGUUAGUACUUAGAUGGGAGACCACCUGGGAAGACUAAAUGCUGUAAGUG
rnacentral:rRNA from 1 species